AUGAUACGUCGGUGGGGCUGCCUCCGAACUUAGGGCACCUGCAUCGUUGGCACGAAUCGCGCUUCUUGAAGUUCAUGUGCUGGCAUGAACUGCACAUCCAGUCUCCCCCUUCUCUGCUCAUUUUGAUUAUACUGGCCUGAAAAUGAAGAAAUAAGAUAAGUAGCAGUUGCACUGCUUAGGAGUAUUAGAGGAAAUUGCUGAAGGAAUUGGUGAUGUUACUUGAUGGGGUUGAGACGGUUUAUAUACUCUUUGAACCUGGCGAAUGGGUCCCUCGAUGUUAGCUUUUGAUUGUUUCCUUAAGAUGGGAUUUCAAUAGUGAAAAUUUCAGAUAAAACUGCCCCCUCUUAGUUCUGCCUCCAUUUUGGAACAGCAAUGUGUGGAGGUAUGGACUACUAAGUGCAUGCAUAGAAGCAUAUAUUUCCCCAAAAAAAAAAAAUCCCAAUAAUGCCCCUCUUUAUGUGAUUCCCCAUGCAUUAUUUGAAGAAAAAAGGCUUUGUAACAUUAUUCUCUUUUUCCAUGUCCAUUUCUAGUAAGGUGUUAUGAGGGGCAGUUGUUAUUUGAAAAAAGUUGGAAACAAGAAUUUCUCAUCUCCCUUGUCUUCUUUACAAAGGUGGCUCUCCUAUGUGUAAAAGAUAUACACAGUAACAAGCAAAUAAAACCUUCCCCUAGUAGGCACAGAGGGAAACUGUACAAGUUCUCCAUUUCGGAAUCAAUUCCUCUUAAUGCACAUCCAUUGUCAAAUUCUGUUCUGCCUUUGUUUCCAUUACUUUUCACCAAUAAUUCAAAGGCCCAUUUGAAGAUUCAUAUCCACUAGCAUUCUUUGCAUUUGCUUGCUCGUGUAUAUGUGUGUUUAUGAAUUAUAACUAGAAGACGCGCCCAAUUUUUUUCCCAAAAUUUUGCACUUUAAAUACAUGGUUACAUUACAUUGGACAAAAGAAAGGCUGAAUAAGACCUGUUGACAAUCCCAACGGGUAUUGGCUAGCAGAGAAUUUAAUCUAAGGAAAAAGAAUGUUCCCAGAAUUUUUCCCACGCGACCACCAAGUAAACAGGAAUCAGAAUAUUUUAGUUUAUUAAGUUGCGGAUCUGAUAAUCUAUCUUUAUAUUGCAGACUUGUUAACUAUUUGACCUACAUAUCGAAUGGGAUAAGUAAGAUCAGUGGUCUAUGUGUAUUAGGCUACUUUAGUUUAUUGCUUUUCUAUCUCCUAAAUUAGGAUUCGUUUUCCAUCGCAUUUUCUGCAUUCACGGAUUUGUAAAGGCAUUGUUUGGAGUUUUUUUUUUUCUUGGACAGGAUAAUCUCUAGGCCUCUAGGAAUAUACCACAUGGAGUUCUGAUUUU